rnacentral:rRNA from 1 species
AUUGAACGCUGGCGGCAGGCCUAACACAUGCAAGUCGAACGAGUGGCGGACGGGUGAGUAAUGUCUGGGAAACUGCCCGAUGGAGGGGGAUAACUACUGGAAACGGUAGCUAAUACCGCAUACCAUCGGAUGUGCCCAGAUGGGAUUAGCUAGUAGGUGGGGUAACGGCUCACCUAGGCGACGAUCCCUAGCUGGUCUGAGAGGAUGACCAGCAACAUGGGAACUGAGACACGGUCCAGACCCCUACGGGAGGCAGCAGUGGGAAACAUUGCACAAUGGGCGAAAGCCGGAUGCAGCCAUGCCGCUUGUAUGAAGAAGGCCUUCGGGUUGUAAAGUACUUUCAGCGGGGAGGCGUUACUCGCAGAAGAAGCACCGGCUAACUCCGUGCCAGCAGCCGCGGUAAUUC